GCGCCCGUAGCUCAAUUGGCAGAGCAACUGACUCUUAAUCAGUGGGUUAUAGGUUCGAUUCCUAUCGGGCGCACCA
rnacentral:tRNA from 1 species